rnacentral:rRNA from 1 species
UGAGUAACACGUAUCCAACCUGCCGUCUACUCUUGACAGCCUUCUGAAAGGAAGAUUAAUACAAGAUGGCAUCAUGAGUCCGCAUGUUCACAUGAUUAAAGGUAUUCCGGUAGACGAUGGGGAUGCGUUCCAUUAGAUAGUAGGCGGGGUAACGGCCCACCUAGUCUUCGAUGGAUAGGGGUUCUGAGAGGAAGGUCCCCCACAUUGGAACUGAGACACGGCCCAA